rnacentral:rRNA from 1 species
AUGGAAGGCGAGGCGCGGCGGCCGCCGGCGUGCGUAUCCAAGGUGCUCGACGACGACAACCUCCUGACGGAGAUCAUCGUCCGCGUCGGCUUCCCCACCAGCCUCGUCCGCGCCGCCGGCGUCUGCAGGCGCUGGCUCAGCCACGCCUCCGACCGCGCAUUGCUCCGCCGUUUCCGCGAGCUCCACCCUCCCAGACUCCUCGGCUUCUACAUCGUAGAGUGGGGGUAUCCGGCCGCCGCACGCUUCUUCCCCAUACUGCCUCAGCCCCCAGAGCUCGCUGCCGUCGUCCGCCGCGCAAACUUCAGCGAGGGGCUACCCUUCUCCAAAAAAGAAGGGGAUACCAUGGUGGGCUGCUCGAACGGCAGCGUCUUCACCCGCCGCCUAAACUUCACCAGCCGCAGAAACUUCGACCUGGACACCUACGAGCUUGUAUUCACAGUGCACAGCCCGCUGCGCUAUGAAGGAGGUAUGGCCGUCCUCCCAGGAUUACAUCUCAGAAUGCCCUCUUUGUACAGUUGGGCACAACUCUUCUCCAAAGAAGAUGGGGACGGGUCGUCCUACUUUUACGUCACGGUGGAGGCCCUGGAUACCAUGGUACCUACGUUAAAUGUUUAUAUGUUGGGAAAUGGUGAUGCUGCCUGGCACAAACAUCUCACGUUGGCGUCGGACCUCCUCUGGCGUCCAUCUAGUCCGAAAGGCGUGCUCGUUGACAACAAAAUCUAUGUUGCGACCUACAAUGCAAUUGUUGUCCUGGAUUUGACAUCCUCAACCUUAUCGACAAUUCAGCUCCCACACGGGGUGGGUUUUGGCCUAGGCGCCACCGUGUUGUCACGGGCCGAUGAUGGUUCUGUUUUAUAUCUCAUCCAUAUCAAAGAGCUUCAACUUCACAUCUGGCUCCACAAUGGGGACAAUUGGCUGCUGGUGGACACCAUUUGCUUGAGUGAAAUGUGUGCUAGUUUUCCUGAGGAUGAGCUUACUAGUAUCCGGAUAAACCAUGUGGGGGACUAUAAUGAGUAUGUAUUCUUGGAGAUGGAUCAAUAUGCACUCUACUUGGAUGUCAAGUGCAGGACGCUGCGUAAGGUGUGCGAGAUGACAGCAGAUGAGUAUUCUUUGGGUGAUAUCUAUCCUUUUAUGAUGAGCUGGCCUCCCAUUUUCCCUACUCUCAGUCCUGCAAGGGAUGCCACUUGA